GUCUGUGGCGCAGUGGUAGUGCGACUGCCCGCGACGCAGAAGGUUCUGGGUUCAAUUUCCCGGUGGGUCA